GACGCAGGGGGCUAGCGUUGUUCGGAAUUACUGGGCGUAAAGCGAGUGUAGGUGGUUGUCCAAGUUGGAUGUGAAAGCCUUGAGCUCAACUCAAGAAAUGCAUUCAGGACUGGGCGGCUAGAGGACCGGAGAGGAUAGUGGAAUUCCCAGUGUAGUGGUGAAAUACGUAGAGAUUGGGAAGAACACCGGUGGCGAAGGCGGCGACCUGGUCCUUGACUGACGCUGAGGCGCGAAAGCGUGGGGAGCAAACAGG
rnacentral:rRNA from 1 species